AAUUUUAGGGGGGGGGGGGGUCAGGUACCUUAUCUUAGACUUUUCACGAGCUCUCCCGAUCAGUCUUUCCAUCUUCCGAUUGCAAACAGCCCUGCGAUUGGGCGUGUAUGAUGUCUUACUUGUUGUCAUUGGUCGCCCCUAAAAUUAAGGAAAAAAGGGGCGUCCCUUUCCGCUUUUUCAUCACUAGCCAUUGCCCUCCCUGACUCUUGCUUGAUGUACAGCUUCAGAUGUUCAACAGUCUCCAUUGUCAUAUUUUAUGCUUCUUAAUGCGCCACACAUUUUCAAUUUGGAGACAAGUCCAGACUACAGGCAGGCUACUCUAGUACCCACCUUUUUUUUACUUAGAAGCCACGCUGUUGUAAUAGGUGCAGAAUGUGAUUUGGCAUUGUCUUGUUGAAAGAAGCAAGGGGUGUCCAUGAAAAAGAUGUUUCUUAGAUGGCAGCAUAUGUUUCUCCAAAACCUGUUUGUAUUGGCAUUGUUGUGAGCUGGAGGGAUGGCAGUUCUACAGCAAUAAAAUAAAAUAAAAUAAAAUCAAAAUUGAAAUAAAAAGUUCCAUUUAACAUUGAUUUGCAAAUGACCUUUUCCCGCAAACUUUUCAAGUUACACACAAAUAUUUUCUGGAAAAGCUCCCUCACAUUACAUGUUUCAUUUUUUUCCAACUCUUAGUUACACCACAGAAUGACAUAAAAGUUCCUGUUGCCCCCCGCCUCCCCCACGCACACACACAACUAGAUGUCUGCUCCGUGACAGCUAAUUAGUAGAUAACUGUUGUGUAUGCGACCAGAAGUUCCACUUACAAACACGCUUCUUCCAAUUACAAUUUUCAUAGUAGACAGCCUAUAUUUAUGAUUAAUGUGGCAAAAAAUGUCAACAGUAUGUACGAUAUUUACCGUAUUUAUUGUAUUGGAGCAUCCCUUAAAUUAAGGGAAAAAAACUAAUGUAAAACUUGACCCCUGCUCCCUACGGUAGCACGUACAGUAGAAAGCUGUUGUGUGCAGACGCAAGUCUUGUCGAAACGGAUCCUUCUUCCAAUCACGAUUCUACGGAGCCCCUAAGGGGACAUGGAAGGGAAAAAAAAAACUUUGCGAGAUCUCGCAAAGAAAGAUUGCGAGAUCUCGCAAUACUUUAUUUAUUUAUUUUUAAUGGUCGUUGGCUUGCUUCCGGGUCAUCGUACGUCCUUCCGGGUCAUCGUACGUUUAAACGCAGACAACAGUUAUGGAGCGUGUUCUUUUCCUGCGCGUUGAUCUACUUCCGGGUCAGCUUGGCGAAUGUUGACUGUCGUGCGCGGCUAAUUUGAGAGACUACACACGACCUCGGAGGAGGAGAGAAUUACCUGCGCGGCUCAUUUAGGAGACAACACUACCUCGGGGGAGGAGAGAAUCAUGGAGGAAGACUUGGAAAACUUCUUGCGAUCAAGAAAUGUCGCUCAGGUGGACAUUACGCGCAUGAAAAGCGACAAGGUUGACAUGGCAGUAAUUUCUCUGAUGACUGAAGAGCAAAUGGGUAAAUAUAUCAUAUCCUAUGGUGAUUGAAUAGCUGUCCUUUGCUUUUGUCAACAAAAAAUGUCCAGGGGUGAUAAUGAAAUGCUCCUCCAAAGAUUGAGAGACAAAAUAAGAUCGAGGAAAAAAGGUGUACUGGGUGGAUCUCCAAGUGUGCUCCAAAACCUUGAUGAGAGAAUGGCAAGAUUUAAAAAUGUUUCUGCUGAAAAGGCUAACAGGAAGAUUGAAAUUGGGUGGCUCCAUUUUGAUAGAAAUGAUUACUAUCAAGUGAGGACAAGCAAUUCUGGAGGAACAAGGCAUGCCAACAUGAAAAAAACAGCUACUGUGGCUCAGAUUUUGGAGUUGGGAAAAGAGCUAUUUUUCCCAGAUGGAAGCUCAAAAAAGGACCACUUAUUCUCAUGAUGGUUUCAGGCAAGAUGGGAGUUUUCAGUUUUACCCAAAGGUCUGAAGUUUUAUAUUCCAUUUAAAAUGUUGAGAUGAAUGUUUGUAAGAAUUUGUCAAUGUGAAUAAAAUUUGUUCCAAAUCA